AAGAUGUCAACACAAGACCAGCUCUUUAUUACUCUGGUGAAACUGCGGCAGAACCCCUCAACCGAUAUGAUGUGUGGAAUAUUUGACCUGGCACAUAGCACUUUCCUGGAUGUAUUCUCCCGAUGGUUGGAUUUGAUGUACGCCAACAUUUCUUUUUUGAUUAAAUGGCCUGAUAGAGAGUGUAUCAGAAGCACAGUACCAGCAGAGGUUCUCUUCCAGUACCCUAGAGUGACUGCAAUUAUCGACUGCUUUGAGUUCAGAAUUGAACACUCAAAGAAGCUGAAAACAAGAGCUAUCACCUACUCAAACUACAAAAACUGGAAACAGUGAAGUAUUUCAUUGCAUGUCACCCAUCUGGCUCAAUCACAUAUCCCUCCAAAGGCUGGGGAGGGAGGGCUUCAGAUGUGCAUAUUGUAAGGAACUCAGACUUCUUAUCUCAGAAGUUCCACCAUGCAGGAGAUCAGAUUUUAGCCGACAGGGACUUUGAAGGAUGACUUUGCUGUUCUGGGUGCACAGCUCAUCACACCGUCUUUCACGAGGGGCCGAAAACAACUGUCAGCCGAAGAUGUUGCAAAUUCUCGUGUGACUUCGAACAUCAGAAUUCACAUUGAGAGUCAUUGGUGCCCUGAAGAGCCGGUACCACAUUCUGGAUGGCCCACUUCCUCUGCGCCUGGU